rnacentral:rRNA from 1 species
AAAUUGAAGAGUUUGAUCAUGGCUCAGAUUGAACGCUGGCGGCAGGCCUAACACAUGCAAGUCGAACGGUAACAGGAAGCGCUUGCUGCUUCGCUGACGAGUGGCGGACGGGUGAGUAAUGUCUGGGAAACUGCCUGAUGGAGGGGGAUAACUACUGGAAACGGUAGCUAAUACCGCAUAACGUCGCAAGACCAAAGAGGGGGACCUUCGGGCCUCUUGCCAUCGGAUGUGCCCAGAUGGGAUUAGCUUGUUGGUGGGGUAACGGCUCACCAAGGCGACGAUCCCUAGCUGGUCUGAGAGGAUGACCAGCCACACUGGAACUGAGACACGGUCCAGACUCCUACGGGAGGCAGCAGUGGGGAAUAUUGCACAAUGGGCGCAAGCCUGAUGCAGCCAUGCCGCGUGUAUGAAGAAGGCCUUCGGGUUGUAAAGUACUUUCAGCGGGGAGGAAGGGAGUAAAGUUAAUACCUUUGCUCAUUGACGUUACCCGCAGAAGAAGCACCGGCUAACUCCGUGCCAGCAGCCGCGGUAAUACGGAGGGUGCAAGCGUUAAUCGGAAUUACUGGGCGUAAAGCGCACGCAGGCGGUUUGUUAAGUCAGAUGUGAAAUCCCCGGGCUCAACCUGGGAACUGCAUCUGAUACUGGCAAGCUUGAGUCUCGUAGAGGGGGGUAGAAUUCCAGGUGUAGCGGUGAAAUGCGUAGAGAUCUGGAGGAAUACCGGUGGCGAAGGCGGCCCCCUGGACGAAGACUGACGCUCAGGUGCGAAAGCGUGGGGAGCAAGCAGGAUUAGAUACCCUGGUAGUCCACGCCGUAAACGAUGUCGACUUGGAGGUUGUGCCCUUGAGG